AGAAGGAGGAGUAAGGGAACAUCAACCGACUCAUCACAUUGGAUGAGAGAGGGCAAGGGUGGGCACGGUGAGGGAGAGAGAGUAUAUGUGUGUUAUGAUGCCAUGGCAGAAGUCCGAGGAAGAGACACAGCCAAGACUCGAGAAGGCUAAAGCUCAUGACUCAGUAUCCACAGCCUUUCUUCCAUCAAUGACUCAGUCUCUGAGAAACCCUUAAAGGCCGUCUUAAAGAUACCUUCUGUGUAUCACUGGCAGCCAGGAAAGAAGAUAAAGUGACCUUCACCUCAAGAGGAGUCACAGAACCUGUAAAAAGCUGAGCGUGGCAGCAUGAACCUGUAAUCCCACUGCUGGGAAGCAAACAGAGGAGGAUACCUGAGGCUGGUUAGCCAGCCAGUCCAGGCAAAUUGCUAAGUUCCAUGUUCACACCUAACAAAUAAUGUCUGCUCUAAGUCUUAGUCACAUCAAGCAGAAGAGACGACUUCCUGAUGAGCAUGCGGCUACGCCUUCCACAGCUAUUCGAAACCCUACAUAGCUGAUUCUAUAUCAAAAUUAAAUGGAGCAUCUCUUUAAUAGCCGAAGAACUAUCUUCUCAAAGUUAAUCAUGGAUAGUUUUCCAGCAUAUUAAAAUCGAAUAACCUUAACCCAAACAACCUACAUUUAUAUUGUUUUUGUUUAAACAAAAAAACAGAAUUACUCUGAACCAUCAGUCGCGGUGAGAUAAGCAGCUGAGAUAAGUACCUUUGUUAAUCAGCAGUAACACUUAUCAAUAAACAUUCAGUCCUUGA